UAAUACGAACCGGACGAACGUUAUUCGGAAUUACUGGGCUUAAAGAGUACGUAGGCGGUCUGGUAAGUUGGGUGUGAAAUCCCUCGGCUCAACCGAGGAAUUGCGCUCAAAACUACCAGACUUGAGGGAGACAGAGGUGAGCGGAACUGAUGGUGGAGCGGUGAAAUGCGUUGAUAUCAUCAGGAACACCGGUGGCGAAGGCGGCUCACUGGGUCUCUUCUGACGCUGAGGUACGAAAGCUAGGGGAGCGAACGGGAUUAGACACCCCGGUAGUCCUAGCUGUAAACGAUGAGCACUAGGUUGAGGGAACCUCCACAUUCUCUCGACCGUAGCGAAAGUGUUAAGUGCUCCGCCUGGGGAGUAUGGUCGCAAGGCUG
rnacentral:rRNA from 1 species